GUAGACUUACCGUAGUUAUGCACAGAAGAAGGCUGUGCGGUUUUCCACUCUUCACUCAUUUUUCUUUCUCUGCUUAACUAAGGAACAUACCUAUUGCUUCAGUUCUGACAUCUUCAACCACGCACCUGCUCAGCUGCUGCUGUGUCUCUCAACUCAACUCAACUUGGUCCAGCAGGAGAGGUCAGACUCACCUGCUCCCAGCUGUGUGUCCAUGAAAUUUGGCUAGUGGAUGGUCCCCCACCGAAAUUCUGUAAUGAGGGCAUUACUGCUGAUAAAAGGAGGACGUUCCCUGGAGUGGCAAAGAUUGCACACGGCCUGGAUCACGCUUCUCGCAACACCAUGGUGACUACCAUCUCCCAGUACUGGGAGGCCCCAGGGUUUUCCACUGUCGCAUCGACUUCCUGUCAGAAUUGUCUGAUUUGUUCAAAGUACAACAUUGGUAAAGGGGUGUCAGUGUCGCAGUCACACAUGCCGCUCCCAGGAGGUCCUUUAAACCAUCUAAAAAUGG